GCCAUUUAAUCUUCGAAUUAAUACUUGGUACUCUCGAGCACCUAAAUUAAUAUUUGGUGCAACUGAAUACACCAGCCUCUGUUUGCUAGUGAGAGUGGAGUAGACUAGGUUGUUGAAAUUAUUAAGGUACGUUUUACUUCAAAA